rnacentral:rRNA from 1 species
GAUGAACGCUAGCGGGAGGCUUAACACAUGCAAGUCGAGGGGCAGCACGAGGUAGCAAUACUUUGGUGGCGACCGGCGCACGGGUGAGUAACGCGUAUGUAACCUACCCUGUACAGGGGGAUAACCCGGAGAAAUUCGGACUAAUACCCCAUAAAGAUAUUUUGAGGCAUCUCGAGAUAUUUAAAAGUUUCGGCGGUACGGGAUGGGCAUGCGUAACAUUAGCUAGUUGGUAGGGUAACGGCCUACCAAGGCUACGAUGUUUAGGGGUCCUGAGAGGGUGAUCCCCCACACUGGUACUGAGACACGGACCAGACUCCUACGGGAGGCAGCAGUGAGGAAUAUUGGUCAAUGGGCGCAAGCCUGAACCAGCCAUCCCGCGUGCAGGAAGACGGCCCUAUGGGUUGUAAACUGCUUUUCCAGGGGGUGAAACUCCCGUACGUGUACGGGACUGACGGUACCUUGGGAAUAAGCAUCGGCUAACUCCGUG